GCGGGGUUUGCUUGAUGGUAAAGUGCUUGCCUAACGUGCAAGAAACCGUGGGUUCGAGCCCCAGCAACGCA
rnacentral:tRNA from 1 species